GAUGAACGCUGGCGGCGUGCCUAAUACAUGCAAGUCGAGCGAACGGACGAGAAGCUUGCUUUUCUGAUGUUAGCGGCGGACGGGUGGGUAACACGUGGAUAACCUACCUAUAAGACUGGGAUAACUUCGGGAAACCGGGGCUAAUACCGGAUAAUAUUUUGAACCGCAUGGUUCAAAAGUGAAAGACGGUCUUGCUGUCACUUAUAGAUGGAUCCGCGCUGCAUUAGCUAGUUGGUAAGGUAACGGCUUACCAAGGCAACGAUGCAUAGCCGACCUGAGAGGGUGAUCGGCCACACUGGAACUGAGACACGGUCCAGACUCCUACGGGAGGCAGCAGUAGGGAAUCUUCCGCAAUGGGCGAAAGCCUGACGGAGCAACGCCGCGUGAGUGAUGAAGGUCUUCGGAUCGUAAAACUCUGUUAUUAGGGAAGAACAUAUGUGUAAGUAACUGUGCACAUCUUGACGGUACCUAAUCAGAAAGCCACGGCUAACUACGUG
rnacentral:rRNA from 1 species